rnacentral:tmRNA from 1 species
GGGGACGACAGGACUCGACAGGCGUAACCGGGUGCGGAUUGCGGGCCGAGGUGUCGUCACCCUCGUAAAACCGGCGGCAAAAAAGUAACUGGCGACCGACAACUCGCCCUCGCGGCCUAACUAAGCCGUGACGUGGCCGGCCACCUCGCCCCGACGGGUGGCCGAACCGCGACGCAAUGCCGGGGUGCUGCGGAAUGCUGCGUCUCAGGACGCUCCGCCUAAGACUACUGAGACUGGCCGGAACCACCUGCCGCCAUAGGAGGGGCCCGGCGAGAUGAACUCCUGGUGGCUACGCCCGUAGACGUCCGUAUCAGGUCCGCUCUGGACGGGGAGUUCGAUUCUCCCCCGUCUCCACCA